GUGGUCGUGGCCGAGGGGUUAAGGCGAUGGACUAGAAAUCUGUUGGGGUCUCCCCGCACGAGUUCGAAUCCUGUAGACUGCG
rfam:Ixodes scapularis strain Wikel colony gcontig_1108379592544, whole genome shotgun sequence.